UACGUAGGCAGCGAGCGUUGUUCGGAGUUACUGGGCGUAAAGCGUGCGUAGGCGGCGGUCCAUGUCUGGUGUGAAAUCUCCCGGCUUAACUGGGGGGGUGCGCCGGAAACGGGGCUGCUGGAGUGCGGGAGAGGUAAGCGGAAUUCCCGGUGUAGCGGUGAAAUGCGUAGAUAUCACUCGGAAGGCCAACGGCGAAGGCAGGUCACUGGUGCGCAACUGACGCUGAGGCACGAAAGCGUGGGGAGCAAACAGG
rnacentral:rRNA from 1 species